ACGGGAGGCAGCAGUGAGGAAUAUUGGUCAAUGGGCGGAAGCCUGAACCAGCCAAGUCGCGUGAAGGAUGAAGGUAUUAUGUAUUGUAAACUUCUUUAGACGUAGAGAAAUAAGGGGGUCGUGACCCUUGAUGCUAGUAUACGUAGAAUAAGGAUCGGCUAACUCCGUGCCAGCAGCCGCGGUAAUACGGAGGAUCCGAGCGUUAUCCGGAUUUAUUGGGUUUAAAGGGUGCGCAGGCGGCUUUUUAAGUCAGUGGUUAAAUCGUGGAGCUUAACUCCAUCCCGCCAUUGAUACUGGAGAGCUUGAUUGCGGUUGAGGUUGGCGGAAUUCGCCGUGUAGCGGUGAAAUGCAUAGAUAUGACGAAGAACACCGAUUGCGUAGGCAGCUUACCAAGCCGUAAAUGACGCUCAUGCACGAAAGUGCGGGGAUCGAACAGGAUUAGAUACCCUGGUA
rnacentral:rRNA from 1 species